UCGUGCGUGCUCGAUUCUCUUCUCGCGUUGAUUUACCGAGCCUACCCUAACUGCUCCACUAACCGGCGCCGCUUCUCAUCUCCUUUGCGCACCGACACCGAUCCAGCGCCCCCGCUGGUCGAGCCACUUCCCGAUCCUUCCUCCCUCACCUCUCGCGACGCCCCAUCCUCGCUGCCACACCUCCGACAGCCGCUCUUUCUCGCCGCACACCGCGAUCCCGACGCCACUGUGCGCCGCUCACCUCCGACGUCUUCUCAUCGGCACUCAAGCACCGCCAACAUCUACUGGUGCCGACCGACUCCCUCUCCUCCCUGUUCUCAUGACCAGCCGCACCUCUGCACAUUUCGAGCCCUAGCUGACUAUCCACCGUCGGCUUUGUCUUCGUUGGUCCACUUCGAGAUGGUAUCCCUUAGAUAUAUACUCGGAUUCAUUGUGAUGGUAGUAUAUUGGGUUUUCCAGCAGCCACCUUCUAGCAGCGAACAACCCUAUUAGGCAGCAACUCUUUGAUUCCAGCAGCGAGAACGACUGUGAAUUAAGGACUUUGAUUCGAGACAAGUAUCUCGACAUUGGAUUUGACUGGAUUGGACCUGUGAGGCGGGUCAAAAUAACAAAAGGAAUUGGCGCACAGAUUCAGGUCUUUGAGUAGGCUGCUGUAGCAAAUAAACAAUCAGAUUCUUGCUUCAAUUCUUAGGUUCAGACUUCAGAUCUGCAGCAUCAAAUUUCUCUGAACGAUUAUCACAUAACUCUAAGAUAUCGUUCCUGAAACUAGGAAAUCAGAGGAAUCCAUAGAUGAAUUGUAUUAUGGAUGAAAUCUAAUCAGAUUUUUAAUCCACUGAGUGCAAGGACUGGAUUCCUUCAUCAUUGAUUCUUGUUCUGCAAUUUCAGAUUUAAAACUGAUACAAAAACUGAAGUGUAACUGAAUAAUUCCAUAUUCUACAUCACUGGAAUUACAUGCUCUACAUCAUGAUACAAAAUCUGAAGUUUCUGAAGAUUUGCAAAUGUCAUUUGUGUC